UACGGAGGGUGCAAGCGUUAUCCGGAUUCACUGGGCUUAAAGGGCGCGUAGGCGGGCAGGCAAGUCAGUGGUGAAAUCUCCGGGCUUAACCCGGAAACUGCCGUUGAUACUAUCUGUCUUGAAUAUCGUAGAGGUAAGCGGAAUAUGUCAUGUAGCGGUGAAAUGCUUAGAUAUGACAUAGAACACCCAUUGCGAAGGCAGCUUACUGCACGAGCAUUGACGCUGAGGCACGAAAGCGUGGGGAGCAAACAGG
rnacentral:rRNA from 1 species